AGGAUAAACGCUGGCGGCGUGCCUAACACAUGCAAGUCGAACGUCCUUGCGGUCUUCUUCUUCGGAGGAGGACCGCGAGGGAGUGGCGGACGGGUGAGUAACACAUGGGUACCUGCCUUUCAGUGAGGAAUACCGGCGAGAAAUCGCCGACAAGACCGCAUAGGCUUCCUUCGGUAGCCCGAGGGAAGCAAAGUUACUUCGCAAGGAGGGACGCUGGAAGAGGGGCCUGUGGCCGAUUAGCUAGUUGGGGGGGUAAUGGCCUCCCAAGGCGACGAUCGGUAGCUGGUCUGAGAGGACGAUCAGCCACACUGGGAUUGAGAACGGCCCAGACUCCUACGGGGGGCAGCAGUGAGGAAUUUCCGCAAUGGACGAAAGUCUGACGGAGCAACGCCGCGUGCAGGAGGAAGGUUUUCGGAUCGUAAACUGCUUUUCGUCGGGGUACGAGGCAAGGACGGUACCCGAGGAAGAAGCCCCGGCUAACGUACGUGCCAGCAGCCGCGGUAA
rnacentral:rRNA from 1 species